AACAAAAGCUCCAUACUUUAAUAAAUCCACAAGGCCCCAAAUUUUAAAACAAACCAAGGCCCAAAUUUUAAAAAAACCAAGAACCCACUUACUCAUCAUCAUCUACACGCCUCUUUCUUUCUCUCUUCCUAUCUCUCUUUCUCUCUCGCCAGAUCGGAGCAAUUCCUCCACCCGCCGUCGCCUCCUCCGACUCAAUUCCAGUUCAGAGCCCGUGACUCGCCGGAGGGAGUCGCCAUCGUCGCUGCAGACCGCACGGAGCUCGCCGCUGUACCGUCGGGAAGAGCUGCUGCCGACCGCACCGCUGCUCCGUCACUGCUCCAGCCGCCCCAGCUCGCCGGCGUGCGACUGGACCUCGCCGCCGCUGUUGUAUUCCGAGACCGCGCCUACUCCGGCAGCCUCCGAAUAGCCCCGAUUUGCCCCGAAACUAACCCGUUCAGCCCCGCAAGACCCCGAUUUACUCCGAAAGGUGGAUGAUGACAUGCUGUGAAACAAUUGCUAAAGGAGUUUCAUGCUUUAGGAUCGAGUAAAAA